rnacentral:misc_RNA from 1 species
UUGUGGAGGAGGACGCCGAAGGUGGGGCUAAUGACUGGGGUGAAGUCGUAACAAGGUAGCCGUACCGGAAGGUGCGGCUGGAUCACCUCCUAACAGGGAGACAACAAAAUGUUAAAUAUUAAUUUUGUCACCUUAGGUCGAUCGGUAUCUCACAUUCUUAAUUUAUUAAGAAUUUUAUUUCCUAAGUUUUUUCUAGGUCACACCCAUUACUUUUCCUGGGCCAUUAGCUCAGGUGGUUAGAGCGCACCCCUGAUAAGGGUGAGGUCCCUGGUUCAAGUCCAGGAUGGCCCAUAUCUCUAUGUUGGGGGUAUAGCUCAGUUGGUAGAGCGCCUGCUUUGCAAGCAGGAUGUCAGCGGUUCGAGUCCGCUUACCUCCACUGAUCACCGCCUCUUCCAUAAUUUAUAGAAGGGAAUUGUUUUGAGUUGUGAUCAAAACCUGAACGAAUCUAGCUUCCUAAUCAAAUUUAUUAAGAUGCUGGACUCAUUGAAUUAAUUUCAUUGUUUUCAGAGAACCUUGACAACUGCAUAGAUUAUUUUUAAAGACAAUAAGCAUCUUUAAUGAUGCAGAUUUAUUAUUUGUGCGAAUGCAUUAAAUAACAAUUCUAUUAAGCUGAUGCUUCAAUUUUGAAGUUAUUGGUCAAGCUACAA